UGGAAAAAGUCCUCCUUGAUCAACAGUUCACUCCACUAAUACUGGACUGUGGCCUACUAAAACUGCUUGCUGAUGAUGUUGUUUAUUCAGCACUUAAGGUCAGUGCUGCACUUGGAUAUAUGGCUCCUGAAUACAUCACAACUGGACGAUUCACAGAAAAGAGCGAUGUAUAUGCAUUUGGAGUAAUUAUCCUUCAAGUACUCUCUGGUAAAGGACUUCUGGACUGCUCAAUGAGACUUGCAGCUGAAUCUUGUAACUUUGAGAACUUCAUUGACCCUAAUAUCAAGGAUACAUUCCCCAUAAGUGAAGCAACUAUGCUAACUAAACUUGCAGUAAGUUGCACUGUCGAGGAUCCAGAUAGCAGGCCAAGUAUGGUUUUAGUAAAUGAAGAAUUGAACAGAUGUAGUGGUGGUUGAAAAAGGAAACAUGUCCGCGUUGAAAGCUGUUGAUGAUUAUUAACCAUAGGGAAACAAGUGCCAAAGCGAUAGAGUUGCAGUUAUCUAUCUAUUGUAUUAUGCAACAUCACUUGCUUCUGUACAUAAUGAGGCGGAUUGAACAAAUUCUUUGUAUGGUUUGA
rnacentral:misc_RNA from 1 species